UACGGGGGGAGCAAGAGUUGUUCGGAUAUACUGGGCGUAAAGCGCACGUAGGCGGCGCAGCAAGUCAGGGGUGAAAUCCCGGAGCUCAACUCCGGAACUGCCCUUGAAACUGCAGUGCUAGAAUCCUGGAGAGGCGAGUGGAAUUCCGAGUGUAGAGGUGAAAUUCGUAGAUAUUCGGAAGAACACCAGUGGCGAAGGCGACUCGCUGGACAGGUAUUGACGCUGAGG
rnacentral:rRNA from 1 species